GACGAACGCUGGCGGCGUGCUUAACACAUGCAAGUCGAACGGAAAGGCCCUGCUUUUGUGGGGUGCUCGAGUGGCGAACGGGUGAGUAACACGUGAGUAACCUGCCCUUGACUUUGGGAUAACUUCAGGAAACUGGGGCUAAUACCGGAUAGGAGCUCCUGCUGCAUGGUGGGGGUUGGAAAGUUUCGGCGGUUGGGGAUGGACUCGCGGCUUAUCAGCUUGUUGGUGGGGUAGUGGCUUACCAAGGCUUUGACGGGUAGCCGCCUGAGAGGGUGACCGGCCACAUUGGGACUGAGAUACGGCCCAGACUCCUACGGGAGGCAGCAGUGGGGAAUAUUGCACAAUGGGCGGAAGCCUGAUGCAGCAACGCCGCGUGCGGGAUGACGGCCUUCGGGUUGUAAACCGCUUUCGCCUGUGACGAAGCGUGAGUGACGGUAAUGGGUAAAGAAGCACCGGCUAACUACGUG
rnacentral:rRNA from 1 species